rnacentral:rRNA from 1 species
GCAAGUCGAGGGGUAGCAGGGAGCUUGCUCCGCUGACGACCGGCGCACGGGUGCGUAACGCGUAUACAAUCUACCUUGUACUAGGGGAUAGCCCAGAGAAAUUUGGAUUAACACCCUAUAGUAUCAUAUUACGGCAUCGUAUUUAUGAUUAAAGGUUACGGUACAAGAUGAGUAUGCGUCCUAUUAGUUUGUUGGUGUGGUAACGGCACACCAAGACUACGAUAGGUAGGGGCCCUGAGAGGGGGAUC